CCUACGGGAGGCAGCAGUGAGGAAUAUUGGUCAAUGGUCGGGAGACUGAACCAGCCAAGCCGCGUGAGGGAGGAAGGUACAGAGUAUCGUAAACCUCUUUUGUCAGGGAACAAAGGCGGGGACGUGUCCCCGGAUGAGUGUACCUGAAGAAAAGGCAUCGGCUAACUCCGUGCCAGCAGCCGCGGUAAUCCGGAGGAUGCGAGCGUUAUCCGGAUUUAUUGGGUUUAAAGGGUGCGCAGGCGGUCUGUUAAGUCAGCGGUAAAAGCCCGGGGCUCAACCCCGGCCCGCCGUUGAAACUGGCAGUCUCGAGUUGGAGAGAAGUAUGCGGAAUGCGCGGUGUAGCGGUGAAAUGCAUAGAUAUCGCGCAGAACUCCGAUUGCGAAGGCAGCAUGCCGGCUCCACACUGACGCUGAGGCACGAAAGCGUGGGUAUCGAACAGGAUUAGAUACCCUAGUAGUC
rnacentral:rRNA from 1 species